rnacentral:rRNA from 1 species
CAUUACUGAGUUUACGCUCUAUAACCCUUUGUGAACAUACCUAUAACUGUUGCUUCGGCGGGUAGGGUCUCCGUGACCCUCCCGGCCUCCCGCCCCCGGGCGGGUCGGCGCCCGCCGGAGGAUAACCAAACUCUGAUUUAACGACGUUUCUUCUGAGUGGUACAAGCAAAUAAUCAAAACUUUUAACAACGGAUCUCUUGGUUCUGGCAUCGAUGAAGAACGCAGCGAAAUGCGAUAAGUAAUGUGAAUUGCAGAAUUCAGUGAAUCAUCGAAUCUUUGAACGCACAUUGCGCCCGCCAGCAUUCUGGCGGGCAUGCCUGUUCGAGCGUCAUUUCAACCCUCAAGCUCUGCUUGGUGUUGGGGCCCUACAGCUGAUGUAGGCCCUCAAAGGUAGUGGCGGACCCUCCCGGAGCCUCCUUUGCGUAGUAACUUUACGUCUCGCACUGGGAUCCGGAGGGACUCUUGCCGUAAAACCCCCAAUUUUCCAAAGGUUGACCUCGGAUCAGGUAGGAAUACCCGCUGAACUUAAGCAUAUCAAUAAGCGGAGGAAAAGAAACCAACAGGGAUUGCCUCAGUAACGGCGAGUGAAGCGGCAACAGCUCAAAUUUGAAAUCUGGCCCUAGGCCCGAGUUGUAAUUUGCAGAGGAUGCUUUUGGUGCGGUGCCUUCCAAGUUCCCUAGAACGGGACGCCAGAGAGGGUGAGAGCCCCGUACAGUUGGACACCAAGCCUUUGUAAAGCUCCUUCGACGAGUCGAGUAGUUUGGGAAUGCUGCUCAAAAUGGGAGGUAUAUUUCUUCUAAAGCUAAAUACCGGCCAGAGACCGAUAGCGCACAAGUAGAGUGAUCGAAAGAUGAAAAGCACUUUGAAAAGAGGGUUAAACAGCACGUGAAAUUGUUAAAAGGGAAGCGCUUGUGACCA